rnacentral:tRNA from 3 species
GGAAGGGUGUCAGAGCGGCCGAAUGAACGUGACUGGAAAUCACGUGUACUCGCAAGGGUACCAUGGGUUCGAAUCCCAUCCCUUCCGCCA